UACGUAGGGUGCAAGCGUUGUCCGGAAUUAUUGGGCGUAAAGAGCUCGUAGGCGGUUUGUUGCGUCGGCUGUGAAAUCCCGAGGCUCAACCUCGGGUCUGCAGUCGAUACGAGCAAACUAGAGUGUUGCAGGGGAGACUGGAAUUCCUGGUGUAGCGGUGAAAUGUGUUGAGAUUGGAAGGAACGCCAGUGGCGAAAGCGACCGGCUGGGUCUUGGCUGACGCUCAGGUGCGAAAGCUAGGGGAGCAAACGGG
rnacentral:rRNA from 1 species